UGAUGUGGUGAGUUCUAGGCCAUCCAAGGCUACAUAUCAGCACUGUCAAGACAGCCAGCCAGCCAGCCAGCCAGCCAGCCAGCCAGCCAGCCAGCCAGCCAAGAAAUUCCAAACAAAACAGCCCCAAGCAAAAACCAAAACAAAACUAUAAGCAUUUGGAAUUUGGUAUUUAAGACUGCCCUUUGUUAUAGAUGCUCCAGCCAUGCUCCUGAUGGGAGAAGGAUAAUUACGGUCUUGAAAGGCAUGCCAACCCCUGGUGAUGGUCAUCGUCAUUGUCGUCACAUUGCACUAUAAUUGUCUAGUUCUGGUCUGGAGCCCUCACUAUCCUGUGAGCACCUCAAAGACUCAUAUUGUAUCCCGUUUCUAUUUUCGUUCCUACUGCCAAAUCAGGGUGAACAAAGGUACUCAGCAAGGCUGGAUAGAUGUAGAGGAG
ensembl:lncRNA